ensembl:lncRNA
GUCUUCUGUGAAAGAUUAUACCAUAGCAUUCACACAUGUCGAAAAUUCAUAGACAAGCCAAUAAUGGAACGAGUAAAGUUCGUACAAAUGAAAGGACUAUGUUUCGGAUGCCUCAACUCUGGACAUCAUUCAAAGAAAUGUGGAAAGAGAAGUGUUUGUGACACAUGCAAAGGAAAACACCCAACCUGUUUACAUGAGGAACGGGACAAGGAAAUCAGAAAGAACAUAGAAAGCGAGAAGGAACAAAAGGAAAGCAAAAGCACAAAUGACACAAAGGAAAUCAAACAAAAUAAAGAAGCACCAAACGAGGCAACAUCGCACCGUGUAGUCCAAAACAACAGCAGUAACCUCACAUCCACAAUUAGUCCAGUUUGGUUAUCCACAACAAGCGAACCAGAACACGAAAUCCUGCUGUAUGCCCUUUUAGACAGUCAGAGCGACACAACAUUCAUUCUACAAGAAAAGGCAGAUGCUCUGGAUUCUGAAAAGAAACAUGUACAGUUAAAGCUUUCUACACUGUCAGCCAGAGAUACAGUCAAUUCAAGUGAAAAGCUGUCAGGGCUACAAGUCAGAGGCUUUUAUUCCUCAAAGAGAAUCCCUCUUCCUGUAACAUAUACAAGAGAGUUUAUUCCUGCCAAUCUAAAUCACAUCUCAACUCCUAAGACGGCAAGAGCAUGGCCCCACCUAGAGCACCUUGCAGAAGAGAUCGCCCCUCUCAUAGAAUGCGAUGUUGGUCUGCUCAUAGGUUACAACUGUUCACAAGCACUGUUACCCAGAGAAGUUGUGUCAGGAAAAGACAAUGAGCCAUUCGCACAAAGAACAGACUUGGGCUGGACAAUAGUUGGUGGUGCUGACCCUUGUGUUGACUAUGGUGAUUCUAUUGGAAGCAGCCAUAGGAUCAUUGUCAAAGAAGUGACACCUAGCCAGUCAUCAGAUCAGUUACCAAAUGAAGUCCAUUACAUUUGUCGCACACAAGUCAAAGAAGUAGUCACACCACCAGAUGUGAUUAAAAUCCUUGAGUCUGACUUCAACGAUAGAAAGGUGGAAGAUUCUCACUUCUCUCAAGAGGAUCUGCGCUUCAUUUCUAUAAUGGAGGAAAGAGUUAAAAUGAGAGCAGAUGGAUUUUGUGAGCUACCUUUGCCAUUUAAAGAGGACAGACCAAGUAUGACAAACAAUAAGAGCUGUGCAGAACACCGACUCAAAUGUCUUAAGAAAAGACUUGAAAGGGACAAACAAUAUCACAAAGACUACACAAAAUUCAUGAACGAAACAAUUGAACGUGGAGAGGCAGAGAGGGUCCCACCUGAAGAACUGAACAAAAGCCUUGCCUGGUACAUUCCACACCAUGGGGUGUACCAUCCCCAAAAACCUGGGAAAAUAAGAGUAGUGUUUGAUUGUUCAGCGAAAUAUGAAGGCAUGUCAUUAAACGAUCACCUGCUGACAGGACCAGAUCUAACAAACACCCUGAUAGGUGUCUUGUGCCGCUUUCGCAAGGGUCCAGUGGCAGUGAUGUGCGACAUAGAACGUAUGUUUUAUCAGUUCAGAGUCAGAGCCGAAGAUCAAGACUACUUCCGUUUCCUGUGGUGGGACAACGGAGACUUUCACUUAAGUCCAUCAGUCUACCGAAUGCGAGUCC